rnacentral:lncRNA from 12 species
AUGGAUGAACUCACAGGAAGUUUCCUUGAAGUUCUAAAUCAGGAAUAUUUGAAGGCUAUCAGACCAGUGCAAUUGAGACAGAAAUUCUUAAAGCCUUCAUAUGGAUUUCAGGCUUCAAUUUCCUCUUACCAGCAUUUACCCUACUUUCCCUAUCUGAAGAUCACAAUCCUUGACAACCAAGGCAGAAAAAUCAUCAGACCUUAUCAGAUCUGUUCUCUACUUGUCAUCCGUCAGCAUUGUACAAUCGGACCUGAAUCACAGGCAAAGCUGGACCUUCCCUGCUCUUAUUUGGAAUAUAGACCUCGGUGGUGCUCUGCUCCAGUCUUGAGAACUACCAUGCAUUGCAGCAGACAUGUUUAUAUGCAUGAAAGGAUGACUUGUGAUAACAGUGGCCGUACUCUUGCAACUUGCCUAUUUCCUGAGCUGCCUAGAAAUGCGUUGAAGACAGACACUACAGGUGCUCUAUCCUAAGGUCAUACGUGUAAUCUUUUACUUCGGUUUAAAAUAAUGACAACACAGAUCUUGCCGGACGUUGAAGAUGUGCCUACAUAACCACAUAGAAGUGAACAUUUGAAAUGAUCAUCCUUCAAUUUAGGUGGAAACUUCUAAAGAGAAAUCAGUCUUUAUGGGUCAAAUUUUUAUUAUAGCCUAUCCCCACUGGCUGAAAGUAAGAAUGGGAUUUUCUACUGUAAAGAUUCUAUUUCUUACAUUAGGUCAAGUUGAGGAGUCUCUGAGAAUCUACUGAUUAACAGUUGAUUUUUUUAUUAUUCUCAAUAUGUGUGUAUCUGAACCCCUUGCAUGCCAUUAUAUUUUCUGUUACAUUUAUCAACACAUCACAACUUAAUAGGCAUAGCUUGUAAAAAUGAUUUGUAGAUUAUUUGUUUAAAUUAUGGUCAUUGGGCUGAUUGGCUGGCUCUUCUAGAGUAAAUGUGCCCAAAUAAAUUACAAACCGAGAUGUUCA